ACGUAGGCAGCGAGCGUUGUUCGGAGUUACUGGGCGUAAAGAGUAUGUAGGCGGUUCUCCAAGUCUGGUGUGAAAUCUCCCGGCUCAACCGGGAGGGUGCAUUGGAAACUGGGGGGCUGGAGUGCGGGAGAGGGAAGCGGAAUUCCUGGUGUAGCGGUGAAAUGCGUAGAUAUCAGGAGGAACACCAGAGGCGAAGGCGACACCCUGGGCCGUACCUGACGCUAAGACGCGACAGCACGGGGAGCGAACGG
rnacentral:rRNA from 1 species